AGAGUUUGAUCCUGGCUCAGAAUCAACGCUGGCGGCGUGCCUCAGACAUGCAAGUCGAACGCGAAAGUCUCCUUCGGGGGAUAAGUAGAGUGGCGCACGGGUGAGUAACACGUAGGUAAUCUACCUUCGGGUGGGGAAUAACCCAGGGAAACUUGGGCUAACACCGCAUAAUGCAGCGGCACCACAUGGUGACAGUUGUUAAAGCGGGGGAUCUUAGGACCUCGCGCCUGAAGAGGAGCCUGCGGCGGAUUAGCUAGUUGGUGAGGUAACGGCUCACCAAGGUGACGAUCCGUAGCCGGCCUGAGAGGGCGGUCGGCCACACUGACACUGACAUACGGGUCAGACUCCUACGGGAGGCAGCAGUCGGGAAUUUUGGGCAAUGGGCGAAAGCCUGACCCAGCAACGCCGCGUGAAGGAUGAAAUCCCUCGGGAUGUAAACUUCGCAAGAAUGGGAAGAAUUAGUAGGGGUCAAUACCCCCUAUGAUGACGGUACCAUUUGUAAGCUCCGGCUAACUCCGUGCCAGCAGCCGCGGUAAUACGGGGGGAGCAAGCGUUGUUCGGAUUUACUGGGCGUAAAGGGCGCGUAGGCGGUCAGCACAAGUCAGUUGUGAAAUCUCCGGGCUUAACUCGGAAAGGUCAACUGAUACUGUGCGACUAGAGUGCGGAAGGGGCAACUGGAAUUCUCGGUGUAGCGGUGAAAUGCGUAGAUAUCGAGAGGAACACCUGCGGCGAAGGCGGGUUGCUGGGCCGACACUGAGCUGAUGCGCGAAAGCCAGGGGAGCGAACGGGAUUAGAUACCCUAGUAGUCC
rnacentral:rRNA from 1 species